rnacentral:ncRNA from 1 species
UCCUUUAAAUAGGACAAUCGUAUAAAUAUAACGCUCCCUCCUUACAUUUUAAAUAAUGUAAGUGGGAGCGUUUUU